AAGUCAUUCACGAAAUUACUUGAAUUGCUGAAGGAUGUACUUCCUGAAGGUGAAACCUUACCAAGGUCUUUCUAUGAAACCAAGAAGAUUAUUGGGGACUUGGGCCUAAAAUACAAUAAAAUUGAUGCUUGUCCCAAUGCUAUCACAUAUGAGAGGUUUUCUGUUGGUACAAAGGUUCAAGUUGUCUGGAGCGAAGAAGGGAAGUGGUAUGUCUAAAAAAAGGAAAAUUGCUUUAUUCCUUUUACAUGUUGAAUCAAUUUUCACUUGUUGUACCUUUUCUUCGUUUUCAGGUAUGAUGCAACCAUCGGGGGUCUCACUCCAAAUGGAUAUCAUGUCUCCUACGAUGGAUGGGGGAAUAAGGAGGAGGUGAAGCUUAGGGAGAUGAAGCCAGGUGUCUUGUCACAGGAACUAAAAGAAGCUCUUGGUAUGCCAGAUUGUGCCCCUCCUCCCUGGCUUAUCAACAUGCAGAGAUAUGGUCCUCCACCUUCUUAUCCGCAUCUCAAAAUUGCUGGCUUGAAUGCUCCGAUCCCUCCUGGAGCUAGCUUUGGUUAUCAUCCUGGAGGCUGGGGUAAACCUUCGGUUGAUGAAGUG